UCUUUUCAUUUUUUUAUGGCA
rnacentral:piRNA from 1 species